GACGAACCGUGCAAACGUUAUUCGGAAUCACUGGGCUUAAAGGGCGCGUAGGCGGGCUCCCAAGUCGGUGGUGAAAUCUUUCGGCCCAACCGGAAAAGUGCCGCCGAUACUGGGAGCCUCGAGGGAGGUAGGGGUCGAGGGAACUCUAGGUGGAGCGGUGAAAUGCGUAGAUAUCUGGAGGAACGCCGGUGGCGAAAGCGCUCGACUGGACCUUUUCUGACGCUGAGGCGCGAAAGCCAGGGGAGCAAACGGG
rnacentral:rRNA from 1 species